GAUGAACGCUGGCGGCGUGCCUAAUACAUGCAAGUCGAGCGAACAGACGAGGAGCUUGCUCCUCUGACGUUAGCGGCGGACGGGUGAGUAACACGUGGAUAACCUACCUAUAAGACUGGGAUAACUUCGGGAAACCGGAGCUAAUACCGGAUAAUAUAUUGAACCGCAUGGUUCAAUAGUGAAAGACGGUUUUGCUGUCACUUAUAGAUGGAUCCGCGCCGCAUUAGCUAGUUGGUAGGGUAACGGCUUACCAAGGCGACGAUGCGUAGCCGACCUGAGAGGGUGAUCGGCCACACUGGAACUGAGACACGGUCCAGACUCCUACGGGAGGCAGCAGUAGGGAAUCUUCCGCAAUGGGCGAAAGCCUGACGGAGCAACGCCGCGUGAGUGAUGAAGGUCUUCGGAUCGUAAAACUCUGUUAUUAGGGAAGAACAAAUGUGUAAGUAACUAUGCACAUCUUGACGGUACCUAAUCAGAAAGCCACGGCUAACUACGUG
rnacentral:rRNA from 1 species